AAGCGGAGGAAAAGAAACCAACAGGGAUUGCCUUAGUAGCGGCGAGUGAAGCGGCAAAAGCUCAAAUUUGAAAUCUGGCUCUUUCAGAGUCCGAGUUGUAAUUUGAAGAAGGUAUCUUUGGGUCUGGCUCUUGUCUAUGUUUCUUGGAACAGAACGUCACAGAGGGUGAGAAUCCCGUGCGAUGAGAUGAUCCAGGCCUAUGUAAAGUUCCUUCGAAGAGUCGAGUUGUUUGGGAAUGCAGCUCUAAGUGGGUGGUAAAUUCCAUCUAAAGCUAAAUAUUGGCGAGAGACCGAUAGCGAACAAGUACAGUGAUGGAAAGAUGAAAAGAACUUUGAAAAGAGAGUGAAAAAGUACGUGAAAUUGUUGAAAGGGAAGGGCUUGAGAUCAGACUUGGUAUUUUGUAUGUUACUUCUUCGGGGGUGGCCUCUACAGUUUAUCGGGCCAGCAUCAGUUUGGGCGGUAGGAGAAUUGCGUUGGAAUGUGGCACGGCUUCGGUUGUGUGUUAUAGCCUUCGUCGAUACUGCCAGCCUAGACUGAGGACUGCGGUUUAUACCUAGGAUGUUGGCA
rnacentral:rRNA from 1 species